rnacentral:rRNA from 1 species
GGCAUCACUUUGUAACGAAAGAAUUUACGGUUCGGGAGGGCCUCGCGGCCUAUCAGCUAGUUGGUGGGGUAACGGCCUACCAAGGCAUCGACGGGUAGCUGGUCUGAGAGGAUGAUCAGCCACACUGGGACUGAGACACGGCCCAGACUCCUACGGGAGGCAGCAGUGGGGAAUCUUGUGCAAUGGGCGAAAGCCUGACACAGCCACGCCGCGUGCGGGAAGAAGGCCUUCGGGUUGUAAACCGCUUUCAGCAGGAACGAAAAUGACGGUACCUGCAGAAGAAGAUGCGGCCAACUACGUGCCAGCAGCCGCGGUGAUACGUAGGCAUCAAGCGUUGUCCGGAUUUAUUGGGCGUAAAGAGCUCGUAUGCGGUUCAGCAAGUCGGGUGUGAAAACUCUGGGCUUAACCCAGAGCCUGCACUCGAAACUGCUGUGACUAGAGCUCGGGUAGGGGAGCAGGGAAUUCCUAGUGUAGCGGUGAAAUGCGCA